UCUCCGGCGACCCACCGCCGCCCGACCCGUCGCCGGGCUGCGCCUCCCUCGUCGCCGCGCGGACCCCCUCGACCCCGCUGCGCGCCCGGUGCCCUCUCCGCCUUCCUCCACCCCAAAACCAAGCCCUAGCUCCGCGCGCCAUGGCUCCCGAGGUACGUACGUACAUCUCCGCAUCCUCCAUUCUUCGUUCGUUCUGUCUCAUGCCAGUGCCCCGGGCAUGCCCAGCGUUGGGAAGUACUCACGCGGAGGCUGGGUCCGUGGGCCGCUGGCUAGGGUAGGGGAGGCUCGGGCGGCGAUCAGCCCCGCCACAUUUCGCCCUGUCUCUUUUUCCUUCUCGUCUGUUCUAGCUAUUGCCUGUGGCGACUCGCCGUGAUACUGUCUCGUAGCGGAGUCCUGUCUGUGUAACUGUGCCAGCGAGUCUGGUGGUGCGUGAGCCAUGACUAUGGCUUCUGCGCUAUUGUGAAGGCUGAGCUGCGCUGGGUGGACGGAAUGGUUGAGUAUGGCGUUAGCGCGUCAGUACCAAGUCUUCCUGGACAGUGUCCGCCAUUGAAAAAGCUCAGGUGGGCUACUGAUAUGAGAUUUUCCAGCAUUUUUGUGUGGAUGUUGGGGUAUGGAACUGCAUGACUUACAUUGUGGUUUUGAACUUCAGGCAGGAGUAUGAUGUCCGUGAAGAACGGAGGGAGCGAGCUGGAAUUUCUAGAGAAACUAAGUUUGCAGGUCAUCUUGCAGAUUGGAUUUUGCUAUUCAUUUGGUCUAAUACUCCUAUUAUUUUACCGAAAAAGGGUUUCCCCCCGCUUUGUAUUCCAAAGCAACCAACACCGAUACAGAAUCGCUGGGGUGAACAGCACAACAAGCCCAAAAGAAAAAAGAAGAAGAAGCAAAUGCCAACAACGGCAACUCAACAGAGCGCGGAUGACCCGCCACCGCUAUGCCCACCAGAGACAAACCACUGCAACCCGAGGCUCCGGACCACCGCAUACAAAACAGCACCUCCAAGAAGGAAAGCGACGCCGACGACGCUACUGCCCGGACAUGUCCUAGGGUUUCCCCAGCACGCGGAGGAAGGUGGGGGAUGGAUAUCACCGACACCCUCCAGGAAGGAAUGGUGGCACCCGCAGGUGUCACCGCAUCGGGGCCGAAGACCGGCAAGGAUUUCUCCCGUACUCCAAUCCCCACUGCCCAACGGACCAGAGCCGACCAGCCAGACCGCCGCCCACCACCAUGCGCCAUCGCGGUUGCGCCGUCACCCACGCCGCCUCACUGCGAACACCAACACGAGGCCAAGAGGGCCGGAGAGAAGCGCCCCGCGGAGGGAGAAGCAGCACCGAAGCCGAACGGGAGGGAACCACCUCCACCGCUGUCGUGCGGGAGGCCAGAGCCUCCGGCACUGUCGCGGUAGCCGUCCGAAGGCGGCAGCAGGGCAUGCCAGGCCACCCCUGGCCCAGCCAGGCCCGAAACGGCCCCGCUAAGCCCCACCGCCACGCUGCAGCAAGCCGGCGAUGGCGCCGCCAGCACCCUGCCGCUCAUCGCCUCUCCCCGCCUCCCGGAAGCCACGAAGCAGACCCACCCCGCCACCGGCCCGCCCAGGCCCAGAUGGGGCCCGAAGGGCCCAGAUCUGGGCCGAGCGGGCGCCGCCAGACCGCGACGCCGCCAUCCCGAAGUCCGCCCCCGCUCGCGCCAGGAGCCCCCGCCGCCGCGCUGGACCGCCGCCGCCUAGAAGCACCGCCCGGGGUCGCCCCGUCCCGCGUCGGCGGACACCCGAGAGGGGAAAAGCUAGGGGGCCGCCGCCACCAGCGUCGCCCGGGCCAGGCCCACAGCGGGCGCCGGCGACGGUGGCAGAGAGGAAGGGGGAGGGAGAGGCGCGCGGGGGAGAAGGCUGGGCGCGGCCGGCCGCCCGCGGGGGCGGCGCGGUCGCGGGAGAGAAGAGGAGAGGGGACUAGAGUUCAUACUCCUAUUAUUUUACAGUGUGGCAACCCAUUCGAUUUCAAAUUUGACCAGGUAGAAUCAGUCAUUUUGCAGUCCUCUUCCCCUCACAGCUGAACACAAUGUGAUAAGGUAAUGAUUUCUUCCUGAUGUAGCAUUUGAGCUCAUACCAUAAGUUGAUUUAGCUUCUUUUGUGCUUCCAAUUGUAGUGAAGCUAAAGUUAGUUUGCAUUUGCUGGAUCACCUCAUGUAGAUUCAGCUGAGAGUUGCGGCAAACCAGGAAGUCAUCGUGUCACUAAACCAACACAGCAGACAAUCUUAUGAUUUUUGGUGGAGAUAACAAUGCUGUUGUGAACUAAAAAAAACAAUGGUGUUGUGAAGGACAUAAUUGUAAAGAAAGGAUCCAGAAGAACUAAUUUAGCCCAACUCAGGCAGUCUUCUGAUGGCAACAGCAUCACCUCGUGCAGAUUCAGUUGAGAGUUGCAGUAAAUCAGGAAGUCAUCAUGUCACGAAACCAACACAGAAGACAAUCUUAUGCUUUUUUUGGAGAUAACAAUGGUGUUGUGAAGGACGAAAUUAUAAAGCAAGGAUCCAGAAAAACUACUGUAGCUCAACUCAGGCGGUUUUCUGAUGGCCACAGCAGAAAGAAUUUGAUGAUUCUGGCUUGUCACACGCCUUGGAGUGAAGAGUUAGGCAUAUGAUCGAUGCAACAGGUCAAAGCCAUGUAGGGAGAGUGCUGAUGUGACUUCUGUUGCAUCUCCUGUGAUUCCUGCUACAGUUUCUGAACCAACAGAUGCAAGGGCUGUAACCAAGGGAAAACAAUCAGAUGAUCUUGGUGUAUCCUGUGUCCAAGUUUAAACCUGGCAGGACCAAAGUGUGAGAAUGGGCAUCUGCACAUGAUGAGACAGAAACUUGCUCUGCUGAUGAGAAGGUUGGCAAUGAUCAUCUGGAUGAAGAUAUGGCCCAAGUCCAUGUAGGUAAACUGGAUAACAAAAGUAUGAUUCCUGUCUGUGCUGUCCAAACUGACACUUUGCACCAAAAUGCAAUGUAUCCAAGACAUCACCAGUACUAACGGAAAUCAUGCAGAUGACAAUAAUCUAGUUCCAUUGAAAAUUGAUAUAAAGUCUCAUGAAGAUCUGAACAUCAGUGGUAUUCUCUAGCAAGGCUGUUGAGGAACGUGCACAACUGGAAGGUUUUUUUUUUCGCGAAUACGCAAAGCUUGCGUACCAUUUCAUUGGUAGAAGGAAUAGAACGUGUGCAGAGGGUACAACUGGAAGGUUUUAGCAGGCCUACUUCUGUGAUCGAAAUUUCCAGUUCUGUACCACCUGAAGUUAGUACCAUUUGUUCGUGUGAAAGUUGAAAUGGAGAUUUGUGAUGACAGUUGCACAGAAGGAUACAAGCUGCCCAUAUCCGGGACACAUUAUGAACAAUAAGGGAAGUCCAGGUUUGGAGAGGACUGUCAGUUGUCAUGGCCCAUCCUAUCAUUGUAGGCUCAGCUUCAAAUACUUCGCUUGAUUCUACUCUAACACCAUCAUUAAGACCCGAUGGGUCUAAUGUGGAGAGUGAGAUUCAAAAAUAUGGAGAGAUGAAGACGAAGAAUCUAUCCUUAGAAAAGCUCGUCUUAUAAGAAGGGCAAUGAAUCCAUAGAAACGGAACAGUCUAUACAUCCUCUUCGAUCUCAUAUUCAGGAUCAUGCUGUUCGAUUUCUCGAAUAUAACAUUCAGGCUUCUGAUUCUGCUGUGUUUACUGAAGCACCACCUACUCCUGACAGGCUGAAUGACUUUGGCAUCUUGAAAGCAUGUGAUCAUCUUUCACAGGGUUUUUCUACGCAGUACCGCUGGUGCACUGCUGGCAUACAGGGAGUCCAUGGAAUCUCUUUUCAUGUAUCAUAAGGUUAUCUUCAGAGCCACCGCAUCGAUCCGUAUGUGGUCAUCACUUCAGCGUGGGGACGCUGGGGGGCUCAUGGCCUUUGGGUGCAACCGUCUGGAGAUGGUUUCACAGGCGUUAUUCAACCGGUUUGGCUGGCAUGCCACUAAUAGAUUAUGUGGUUAAGUCAUGUAAUCUUUCGUUUGUACCCACUAUUUGUGGUGUUUUCUUUUUCUUUUUGCCGUUUUAGUUGAUACUAUGUACG